AGAAAAUUGUAUCUAACCUUUUUACAAAGAUGUUUUUGUUUGGUGUAAAUUUUUGAUGACUUUCCAGUGAUGCUUACACAAAAAAAAGGAAAUCAUGAAGUUAAAUUUUGUAUCACUUACUAUAUCAAAUAGUAUUCUAUAGAAUGUAUGAUGAGGGAAUUAAUUUUUUUAUUUGUGUGAUUUUUCAUUGUUCAUCUGUUUAGGGUGUUUACAUUGAUAUUUAUUAGACAAAUAAUAAUUAUAACUGAUGUUUUGAUAUCUUUAUUUUCUUUUAAUAAGACACACCCAAGACAUAGGAAUAGAUGGACUUUUCUAUAUAUUUUAUGGUGAAUAUGAUUUUUGUAUAGUCAUACUAUCAUUUGAAAUCUUUUCAUAGGUUAUAAAGACUUACUAAAAAAUGGCACAAAUUAGACAUUUUAGAACAACAAAUUUGGCAUUGUUCCAAAGAGAAAAAAAUCGGAUAUUAAUAAUUUUGUAUUUCCAUUUUGAAAAUAAAUGAUAAUACUGUUGCUUAAAUGUUUUAAUUAUUAUAUCUGAAUUAUUGGUAUGUUUGAUUAGAGUCUCUCAAUAGAAUAUUUUUAUAUUACCGACUUUAGACUCUGGGUUUUAUAUUGUUUCAACAGGUUAACUACUCUGUGGUAAGACAUCCUGGUAUUCUGUCAACUAUGAGGAACCAAAAGAAGAAAAAUCAAAUAUAUAAAUGGUGCAAUUUAAUCAUGUAUAGAAAGCAUUUAACAGUAAACUUUCCCUCAAAAUUAUACCAAAUAAAAUCUAAUAUUUAAUUAUUUAAGUUGCUCUUGCUUGACUGAGUACCAGGAUGACUCCGAUGUCAAACCACAUAGAAGGUAACCUGUGGAAAAAAAUAUAAAUUUCUGGGUUAAAAGUCAAUAAUAUGAAAGUGGUAUAUAUUGUCAAACAUUUUACGACUGUAGUUAAGGGAGGUAACUCUGGGAAAAGUGUUAGUUGUGUUUGUAAUACAUAAUAUAUUAAUACAUUAAUUCAUACAGGUUUUUUCUAACUUGGUACAUGUGCAUUACUGUUAAUGACUGUUGAAGUUUUUUUUUUUUUGUUAUAUCAGUAUUUUACAUAGUUUACUUAUUCCUUUUAGUCACUUUUUCAUCUAUUUAUUUUUUAUUUGAGUAUUGGA
rnacentral:lncRNA from 1 species